GCAUGUUCUCGGGGCGGGGUGGAAGUCCCCACCGGCGGUGAUGGUCCGAUGGGGGCCGAGCCCGCGAGCGCCUUCCUCGGAAGGGUCGAGCAGAGUCCGGUGAGAUCCCGGCGCCGACGGUCACAGUCCGGAUGAAAGAGAACGGGA
rnacentral:ncRNA from 1 species